UGAUCAAACAGGAGCUACAGUAUACACAGG
rnacentral:piRNA from 2 species